CAAAAAGUCCUGUUCCACCUUUGACGACCUUACCGACCACUAGACAGGCAGAAGGAGAGCAUAACUUGUCUUGGGAUCCUGUGGAGAAGAGGAAAGAGACCUCAGUGAGGACUCUAUUCGACAAACAGAAGGUUGAUGCCUUCUGUGUUAAGCAACUGUUGUUUCUCGCCAUGCUGACUGGUGACCUCGCUGAGCAGGCAGCGGGAAAUACCUUUGAUCUCAUGCACGAUGGCACUCUGGGCAUGAGAUGCCACCAGCGAAGUCAAGUCGAGGCGUACAUUGCUGAGAGGUAAGGCCAGCGUGACCUAGCAACGUAAAGAUGAGGGGAUGAUUAUCAAGGGUUUACAAACUCACUCAAGCACCAUCUACAAGUAAAUGAUCCAUCAUAUUGUUUCCAAGUAUGAAGUGAAGCUUAUAAAUAAGAACAUGAACAUUUUUCCAGAACCAUAGGGGUAUAGAAUCAUUUACAGUCAUUCACAUUUAAGUGCCAAUAAGUACAGUAACAGUUAAAGCUUGUUCAUACUUUUCCGCAUGUGUACUAGCGGAUAUGUCUGCUCAAACAUUUGAAGCGUUUGAUGUCAUUGUGCGCUUCCGCGAAUGAACGCCUGCUGCACUCCAAAUUUGUGUCUGCGCAGCGGCGUACAUGCAGCACUGGGCACACUGCACAUGAUCGAUUUGCUAGUGUCCACUUUAAAUACCAACAUGUAGGCUUUCGACGAGCGUUGGGGUAGUUUGCAAACCCUACAGACUAUUUACAAGUAAAUAAAACGUACAUACAUGUAAAUCCAUGCGUGUAUGUAUGAGGGGGAGUUAUGGACUUUAUUCAGAAUUACCAUGCAUAAACAUGUGAAACCAUGUAUAUACAUAUGAAACCAAAGUAAUUCAUAUAGUACAACGAAAAUUGCACACACUUACAAGAGAAAGCAUUGCACUAUUUAAGACUCUCAUAUAAACAACUGAAAAUGUAUUCAUUCACACAACUGAAAAGCUCUCACAAACACUAGUGAAACCUUUCACAAAUACUACUGAACUGCUUUCACACACACUAGUAAAAGGUGCUUACAUACACGACCGAAAAUGUCAUCUUUGCUAGUGUGUGUGAAUGCUUUUCAAUAAUGUGUUAAAAUUUUAACUAGUUUUUGUGAGAGAUUGUCAGUUGUUUGUAUAUGCAUGGUAAUUUAUCAUUUCUGAAUAAAGUCCCUAACGGCCUCAAUGACCCUGACUGCCACUUCAAUGCCAUCCGUGUUUGCCAUGGCAUGGAUCUCAUUGGAAUGCAGUCGGUCCCUAAUGGCCCCUUGUGUGUGUGUGUGUGUGUGUGUGUGUGUAGACUUGUCUCAAAUUGAAAAUUUCAUGCCAGCCAGCUCACCAAAACUGGCAACCUUGAGUUGGCUCUGAAUUUUUUAAAACAGAGAAAUGGAUACAAACCUCACUGCUGUGGUACGACUGCAGGGAAUAUCACAAUGAUGAUAAUAAUAAUGACAAUAAUAAUAAUAAUAAUAAUAAUAAAGAAUCCAAAUAAUAAUACAUUAAGAAUAUAAAUACAAUGCGUGCAAAGUACACAGCUUGACCAGAGAACUAUAAACAUUUCCGUGUACACAUACGCACAGUGGGUACGUGAGUGUUGUGCUUGUGUGGAGUAGUAUGAACCAACCUUUAGGUAUUUUUGUAAAAUCAGUCACCCUGUUUCAUGUAUGACAAACCAGCCAUCUUUGAAUUUAUGAAAAGGUGAGUAUUUACAUAUGUGUACGUAUGUGCUUUCAGGGAGAACCUAUAGACCAGACAAUCAGGAGCUAAGCUGCUUACUUACUAUAAAUUAAAAUAAAAGUCAUGCUCACCUCACACCAGAGGUCACUUUGACUGUCAUAUCUGUAACUUUCAAUGGCAGUGCUAAGAUCCAGCACCCUGUUCACCCGGAGCUGGUUCUGGUCCUCCGGCUGGGUCGGGUUUGGAGUGGCAGCUGGACUCCCCGGGAGCUGCUCAUCAUCAUCAUUCUCUUCUGCAUUGGGGGUUGAUUCCUCUUUUUCCUCAAACAAGUCUCCAUCAUUUUCCUCCCCCUCACUUUCAUAAUCCACCUACAAGCGUCAGCAUCCCCCUCAUCAGCCUCUGCAUCCGCUGCAUUACCGAUGUCUUCCAUCUCAGUGUCUCCGCCAUCCUACACAUAGGACGGUACCAAGUCAUGUCAGUUUGAGUGUACCUCUGUCUAGUGGUCAUUAAGGUCGUCAAAAGGAAAAAGGGACUUUUCGACCUGAAGCAACCUUUUGCAAGUCUGAUUUUCCUUGCCCAAUGAGGCCCAACGACAGGAAUGAAGUGCUAACCUUGAUCUAGGUUUUUCAGUUGUCACUGUGUAUUGUCUGUUCCCAUUUGCUGCUGUAAUGCCUGAUUUUGAUGGAUAGAUCGAUGGACAGAUGGAUAGAAGGAUUGAGUAUCCAUCCAUCCCCCCAAAGUUUCUGCCUUGUGUCUGGAAGGUCACAUUUCAUGUCACGUGGUACUCGAAAGUCAAAUCACCACUGGGCCCUUAAGCGAGGUCCUUAAGCCCACCUGCUCUUGAGCAAUGGCUGACCCAGUGCCCUGACCCCACCCCUUUGCUCUCACCUGUAUGUCUCACAAGAGAACAGGAUGGAAUAUGGGAAGACUGCAAUUUUGUGGUACAUUCUGCCUAUAUAAUAACAAAGGCAUUCUGUUCUUAUGCAUUCCAUUAACAAACCUGAGUCCCACCGCC